AAGGCAAUUACCCUGUUGGAAGAUGAACAGUCAUUACAGCUAGACCUCAGAGGCUGAUGCAGGUAGAAAAUGCACCCAUGGAAGUAUGACAGAGGUGCUCACCACACUCACUUGUAAAAUCCUUCAUUCAGUCAUCUUGUCACACCAGAUGUGUAAGCUGAGGGAUUUGUUCAUUAGUAGUGUGAAAAACUGAAGUAAACUGAAACUAAAAUAAUUCUGUAGUCACGAGGUCAUUAUCCUAAUCAGGAAUAAACUGGUGGCAUAAGUGUAAGAGGGCCAGCAUGACUGUCACCACUCUACAACUGGGCAUUAAAGUGUCGUGAUGCUGCAGAGGCUCUGUUAGAGGCUUCCAGCUACUGAGCAGAGGAUGUGAGUGUGCUCUGGCACUUCAGGAUCAGAGAUCAAUACUCUCUGAAAACCCCAACCCUUGAAGGAAAGGAAAUUCAUGUGAGCAUCUCCUUUGGUGUACCACUAAUUGUACAUUCUUUCUCUCUGCGUAUCUGAGUUGUUCUUGAACUGAGCUCUCUGAAGUCCAGGGGACACAACCAUUUUCUUUUAAACUUCUUGAUUGCUUGAGUUUGUCUCAGUCUAUCAGUGAAGCAAAACAGAUGCCUCGUGAUUAAAAUUGGCAAGGCAACUUCGUUUGAGUUUUUAAAUUUGUUGCAGACAAUGAAAUUGAAAUCAGUCUUUUGUUGGGAGGAUUGAUUGCCUCUGAAAGUAUUUGAAUUUUUAUUUGUAAUAGUAGCUUUAGAAUGCAGCUAAUUGGUGUGUGCUGGAAUGUUCUUAUACUUGACAUUUAAAAUCUAACCAACACUGAUAAAAGAAAUAUAAGUAAAAAAUUAUAGUGGAUAGAAAUAAAUCCAUUUUACAAUUUGAGCUACUGUAAAUGAUCAGAGCUCUAAUACAAGAAAGAUGUAUUCAGGUAUAUUAUUGUUCACUGCAAUUCCUGUCUAUACAUAUAUUCUUUUGUGUGUCUGUUAAACAUGAUCUUAACAUGAAGCCCUUUUUCUCCUAACUCAAAAGCUUUCUCGAAGUUGAUGAAUGCCAUACAUAAUGGUAUACAAAGCACCAGCUUUGAGAUGAAGGAAAGCAAGCUCACCAUUUUUCUGAACAAAAAUAAAACAUCUGAAGGGUAUCUGACAAAGUGUGCUGAAUUUGGAACUUGUUCAGUGCUACCAUGCUUGAUAUUCCUUGGCCAGCUGACAGCUCACUUAUCUAAUGCACGUGGAGCCUAACGGUUUCAUAGACAGG